UACGAAGGGGGGCUAGCGUUGCUCGGAAUUACUGGGCGUAAAGGGCGCGUAGGCGGGUCGUUAAGUUAGAGGUGAAAGCCCAGGGCUCAACCCUGGAAUUGCCUUUAAUACUGGCGGCCUUUGAGUAUGGCAGAGGUGUGUGGAACUCCGAGUGUAGAGGUGAAAUUCGUAGAUAUUCGGAAGAACACCAGUGGCGAAGGGCGACACACUGGGCCAUUACGUGACGCUGAGGCGCGAAAGCGUGGGGAGCAAACAGG
rnacentral:rRNA from 1 species